UACGGAAGGUGCAAGCGUUGUCCGGAUUGACUGGGUGUAAAGGGCGCGUAGGCGGAGAAGUGUGUCGGGAGUGAAAUCGUGCGGCUUAACCGUAUCAAUUGCUUUCGAAACUACUUCCCUUGAGUACAAGAGGGGCAGACGGAAUUCCUGGUGUAGCGGUGGAAUGCGUAGAUAUCAGGAAGAACACCGGAGGCGAAGGCGGUCUGCUGGCUUGUAACUGACGCUGAGGCGCGAAAGUGCGGGGAGCAAACAGG
rnacentral:rRNA from 1 species